UACAGAGGGUGCAAGCGUUAAUCGGAAUUACUGGGCGUAAAGCGCGCGUAGGUGGUUCGUUAAGUUGGAUGUGAAAUCUCCGGGCUCAACCUGGGAACUGCAUCCAAAACUGGCGAGCUAGAGUAUGGUAGAGGGUGGUGGAAUUUCCUGUGUAGCGGUGAAAUGCGUAGAUAUAGGAAGGAACACCAGUGGCGAAGGCGACCACCUGGACUGAUACUGACACUGAGGUGCGAAAGCGUGGGGAGCAAACAGG
rnacentral:rRNA from 1 species